GAGAAGAGAGGAGAUUCCUGGAGAGCGGAACAAGCUUCUGCUGCUUCGCGGAGCCGUUGAAAAACUGGAACUCCCAAAGGGUGGACGGAUGGAGCGGAUGACGAGAGGAGUAGCCUUCCCCUGGGACGCCGAUGCAGAGAGGCAAGCAAAGACCAGCGCUGCACGCGAGGAGCUGGAGCGGCCAAGCACAGGCACAAAGCACGGUGAAAGAACCUGCAUAUCUGGGGCGAGGGAAGGGGAUAAACACCGGGAGACCGUACCGCUACACCGGCCGGGUACCAGAGCGCGAACUCUAGCAACCAAGAAGAGAUUCUUGAGUCGGAUUGAUACCAUUGCAUCCUGCUUUUUCUGCCCAUCAUGCCGAUAGGACAACACCCAAACUGGCACAUGAGAGCGCAGUAUGCCGUUGGACUUCAGAGACGGAUGCCCCGUCCGCGUGCUGCAGAGGCUACCGGCCUCACCUCCGGGAUAUAGCUAUGGACUGCAACAGGUGUGUAGAAGGCCAGAGGGUGAGGAGGAGGAUCUUGGGGAGCACCAGAGCUGAGCAGAUGGCAGGUUGGGGCUGAAGACCAGGC